ensembl:lncRNA
UGCAUAAUAAGCGCCGCCUGCUGGUGAUAGCUGUAAAUGUAAGCACAAGAAAAGCUCACGUUGUUUUCCAAAGACAUAUAUUGAUUACAAUGGUUUGUCUUAAACCCGCAUUGAUUGCUUCCCUUCACUGUAACUGAUUUACCCACAUAAAUGUAAAAGCUUUGAUGCUAACUUAAGUUUGAUCACUGUUAAAACUAUAAUGUCCACUAAUAAGUUUAUUUACUAAAAAAAACGUACAUGGAGAAAAACAAGGCAAUUUUAUUUCUAAUAUAAUAUCAUUUUUUUCAUAAAACUGCAAUUUAAAUAUAUUAUUUCUAUAGGCUAUACAAAAAGGACAAAAUAAUUAGGCUGAAUAAGCUGAUCUAUAGCAUGUUAAAUGGUGGUAUCCUAGUCUAUGAAUGGUACACCCCCUAAGCUCACAGAAGUAGUUUGACCCAAGUCCUCAGCAGCCAAUGACACUGACCCGUUCAAAUUUAACACGUACUUCACGUGUACUUCACGCGUAUUUAACACGUUAAAUACACGUAUUUAACGCGCUGAUUUUUCACGCGUAAACGACACGUAUUUAACGCGUUAAAUACGUGUUGUUUACGCGUGAAACACGCGUAUUUAACGUGUUGUUUACGCGUUAAAAUUCGAGUGUUUUUGACCCUCUGGGCCUUCCAUAGAUCUGCUCUCACCUGCUGCUUUUGCUCACUCAAACAAAUUUAGUUUUGGCAGUCGAGGGGCGGGGCUUACUGUUUUUAUAACCUCAAAUGUCAUUGGUUACUUCCCCUUUUCCAGAAGUCUGUUGUGAUUGGACACCUGUGAUUUUCAAUCAAGAACGUCAAAGGAACGAUAGCUGAUAUAAACGAGCAAGAAAGAUGGAUAAUCAAAGAGAGGCCGAGUUGCAGAAUGCUGCCAGGCCCGUUGUGUCCCUUUUACGCAGUGCCCUAACUAGUGAGUCAAGCUCACCAUCACAGAUGGACACAAAGGGCUUCAGUUUUGAAUGGUUUCGACAGAUAUCUAAACUAUUGUUGGAGAUGUAUGCAAAAAUGGACUCAUUGGAGGGAGCCUGGAUGCUCUAUAAAGCUGUUGGUAAGAUAACUUGGUUGAUAUUUAAAUUUUAUUGUGACUUCAACUUUACACAUCACUAGACUGGAUUGUUAAUUUGAGUGGCAUCUCUGCUAAAAGUAUGACCUCUUUAAAAGUACUCACAAAAUUAGUUUAUCUUAGUUUGUUUACCUUGGCUAUCAAUGUUAGAGUGAAAUAGAAUAUUAAUUCAUUUCUGAAAACAUUUAUUUCUCAUAAAUAGCUGAUAGUGGCUUCUGAUCUUUUUCACUCAGGUGGAUCAGGUCAGCGAAAGCUGAACAUUGUUGCUCCGGAAGCUGAAGGAUACACAGGGUCCUAUCUCAUCAAAACUGCAGGAGGAAAGGGCUGUCUGUAUAUCAUGCCUCUACAGAAUACUCUAGACAUCUCUCCUUUACCGUACUCUGCAAAAGAGUUUGAGAAAAUGCCGAAAGCACGAUGCGCUAAUUGUUUCACAGAUAUGCCUGUUCAGCUGCUUGGCGGUGCACGUCCAGAAGUGCGAUACAGACCUGUGUAUUGACAUCAGUGAUUGUGAAUCAGUAAAGUCAAUUUCAUUUUUAAAUGUUUUCAUUUCACUCAUAGUAAAUAAAAUAUGAAUUAAAAUCUACA